AGACGUCUACGAGUUUAUCCUGGCUCAGAACGAACGCUGGCGGCAUGCCUAACACAUGCAAGUCGAACGAGACCUUCGGGUCUAGUGGCGCACGGGUGCGUAACGCGUGGGAAUCUGCCCUUAGGUACGGAAUAACUCAGAGAAAUUUGUGCUAAUACCGUAUGAUGUCGAAAGACCAAAGAUUUAUCGCCUAAGGAUGAGCCCGCGUAAGAUUAGCUUGUUGGUGAGGUAAAAGCUCACCAAGGCGACGAUCUUUAGCUGGUCUGAGAGGAUGAUCAGCCACACUGGGACUGAGACACGGCCCAGACUCCUACGGGAGGCAGCAGUGGGGAAUAUUGGACAAUGGGCGAAAGCCUGAUCCAGCAAUGCCGCGUGAGUGAUGAAGGCCUUAGGGUUGUAAAGCUCUUUUACCAGGGAUGAUAAUGACAGUACCUGGAGAAUAAGCUCCGGCUAACUCUGUG
rnacentral:rRNA from 1 species